rnacentral:rRNA from 1 species
AUUGAACGCUGGCGGCAGGCCUAACACAUGCAAGUCGAGCGGAUGAUGGGAGCUUGCUCUCUGAUUUAGCGGCGGACGGGUGAGUAAUGCCUAGGAAUCUGCCUGGUAGUGGGGGAUAACGUUCCGAAAGGAACGCUAAUACCGCAUACGUCCUACGGGAGAAAGCGGGGGAUCUUCGGACCUCGCGCUAUCAGAUGAGCCUAGGUCGGAUUAGCUAGUUGGUGAGGUAAAGGCUCACCAAGGCGACGAUCCGUAACUGGUCUGAGAGGAUGAUCAGUCACACUGGAACUGAGACACGAUCCAGACUCCUACGGGAGGCAGCAGUGGGGAAUAUUGGACAAUGGGCGAAAGCCUGAUCCAGCCAUGCCGCGUGUGUGAAGAAGGUCUUCGGAUUGUAAAGCACUUUAAGUUGGGAGGAAGGGUUGUAGAUUAAUACUCUGCAAUUUUGACGUUACCGACAGAAUAAGCACCGGCUAACUUCGUGCCAGCCGCCGCAGUAAAAC